GAGUUUGAUCUUGGCUCAGAGCGAACGCUGGCGGCAUGCUUAACACAUGCAAGUCGCACGGAGGGUUUCGGCCUUCAGUGGCGGACGGGUGAGUAUCGCGUAGGAAUCUAUCCAUGGGUGGGGGAUAACUCUGGGAAACUGGAGCUAAUACCGCAUGACACAUGAGGGUCAAAGGCUGAGAGGCCGCCUGUGGAGGAGCCUGCGUUCGAUUAGCUUGUUGGGGGGGUAAAGGCCUACCAAGGCGAUGAUCGAUAGCUGGUCUGAGAGGAUGAUCAGCCACACUGGGACUGAGACACGGCCCAGACGCCUACGGGAGGCAGCAGGGGGGAAUAUUGGACAAUGGUCGCAAGCCUGAGCCAGCAAGGCCGCGUGUGUGAAGAAGGUCUUCGGAUUGUAAAGCACUUUCGGCGGGGACGAUGAUGACGGUACCCGCAGAAGAAGCCCCGGCUAACUUCGUGCCAGCAGCCGCAGUAACAC
rnacentral:rRNA from 1 species